UGUGCUGUGGCUUAGUUGGUUAAAGCAUCAAUCUAGCGAAUACGGAGUCGUGGGUUCGAAUCCCACCAGAACGU
rnacentral:tRNA from 1 species